rnacentral:lncRNA from 1 species
CCUUUCUCUUUGGUCGCGAGACCAUUUCCUUUCCAGGUUUCUCUGAGCGUUUCCUUUCCCUAUCUUGGGAUAAAUAACGCGCAGUGGCGGCUCUGUGUUGUGUUUUUAUUUGAGCUUCGCCGGUUGUUUUUUCGCGGAUGCGACAAAAUAUUUCCACAAAUAAUUCUCCUUUAAAGUUGUCAGAUAUUCUCUAUGUUCCAAAUGUUACUCAAAAUUUGAU